AUGAUCUCUAUUGUUGGCUAUGGAGGCCUAGGGAAGACAACUCUUGCUAAUGUGGUGUAUGAGAAGCUCCGAGGGGAAUUCGACUGUGGAGGUUUCGUUUCUGUAUCUCUUAAUGUUAACAUGCAAAAGGUUUUCAAGAGCUUGCUGCAUCAACUUGGCAAGGAAAAGUACAAUAACAUCAUGGACAAAUCAACAUGGAGUGAAAUACAACUCAUAAGUGAGAUAAGAGAUUUCCUUCGAGACAAGAGGUAUUUUAUUAUUAUUGAUGACAUAUGGGAUAAAUCUACAUGGAGAAGUAUUAGAUGUGCUUUGAUUGAAAAUGAAUGUGGUAGUAGAGUAAUCACAACAACGCGCAUUCUGGAUGUUGCCAAAGAAGUUAGUGGUGUUUAUCAGCUUAAACCACUUUCUACUGUUGACUCAAGAAUGUUAUUCUACCAAAGAAUAUUUGGAACCAGAGACAAGUGUCCACCUAUUCAGUUGGCUGAAAUAGGUGAGAACAUUUUACGGAAAUGUGGUGGAGUACCAUUAGCUAUCAUUACAUUGGCUAGUAUGUUGGCUAGUAAAAAGGAACAUGAAAAUACAUAUACAUAUUGGUCCAAGGUGUACCAAUCUAUGGGUUCUGGGCUAGAAAAUAAUCCUGACCUGAAGGACAUGAGGAGGAUACUAUAUGUCAGUUACUAUGACCUACGUCCAAAACUGAAGACUUGUUUACUGUAUCUAAGUUUGUAUCCAGAGGAUUAUGGUAUUAAAAACAAAGACUUGAUAUGGAAAUGGAUAGGUGAAGGAUUUGUUCAUGAAGAGCAGGGAAAGAGCUUGUAUGAAGUAGGAGAAGAUUACAUUGAUGAGCUCAUUAACAAAAGCUUGAUUCAACCAAUGGAUAUCAGUAUUGCUAAUAAGGCGAGCUCUCUCCGUGUACAUGACAUGGUUCUUGACCUUAUCACUUCCUUAUCAUAUGAGGAGAACUUCCUUGCAACAUUGGGUAGUCAGCAGACCAGGUCGCUACCAAGUAAGAUCCACCGAUUAUCUCUCCAAACCAGGAAUGAGGAUGAUGCCAAGCAAAUGCCAACCAUGAGCAGCUUGUCACAUGUGAGAUCACUUACUGUGUUUAGUAGAGACCUUAGUUUGUUGUCAACACUGUCAGGUUUUCUUGUCCUACGUGCAUUGGAUUUAAGUGGUUGUAAGGAAGUGGGUAACCAUCAUUUGAAGGAUAUUUGCAAUUUAUUUCUCUUGAGGUAUCUGAGUCUAAAAGGGACAUCUGUCACUGAGAUCCCGAAAGAGAUAAGCAAUCUACAGCUUCUGCAAGUGCUAGACAUAAGGUCCACCAUACUGAAAAAAUUGUCGUCAACCUUUGUUCAGCUAAGACAACUGGUGUUCAUUGACGCGGCUAAUAAGAAGGUCUCUACAUCGCUUCUAAAAGUGAUGUCCACCUUGCCUUCCCUCUCUUCCCUUGCAAUCGGAUCAACAAGACUGAGUGAGGAAGACCUCCAAAUACUUGGAAACAUGCCGUCUUUGCGUGACCUUUACAUAUAUGUAGUGUAUUGGGGAGAAGGCGCAGAUAAAAGGUUAGUCAUUGACAAUGGUUGUCCCUUCCGGUCCCUGACAAGAUUUAGAAUAAACUGCAGCGCCAUUGGUUUCAUGUUUGCACAAGGGACCUUCCAAAAGCUCCAGAUCCUGGAGUUGGAUUUUGAUUUUGAGAGAACAAAUGACCAAUUUGGUGUUCAAUUUGAGCUGGAGAACCUCUCUUCACUUGAGCAUGUCUAUGUGUUGGUUCACGGUAAUGAAGGUGAGAUGAUCAAGGCACUUCAGAAAGUUCUUGAUAUUAAUCCCAACAAGCCCACAUUGACGGUGAAGCACUAUAAGAAAUCAGCAAAAAAUGACUCGAGGAUAAUAUCGGUGAUACAAAGUGGGGUGCUGUCCGUAGAGGAAUAA
rnacentral:rRNA from 1 species